rnacentral:ncRNA from 1 species
UGAUCGAAGCGGGGGUGUCGCCGGCAGGUGGCUGAGAAAUACCCUUUGAACCUGAUCCGGGUCAUACCGGCGUAGGGAAGCUGGCUCUGUUCUACA